UCCCGGGUGGUUCAGUGGCUAAGACUCUGAGCUCCCAACGCAGGGGGCCUAGGUUUGAUCCCUGGUUAGGGAA
rnacentral:tRNA from 1 species